rnacentral:lncRNA from 1 species
CAGGCGCACUGGGCACAAUAGCCCACCACAGCAACAAAAAAUGGAUUAAGACGCCAAGAGUGGAGAGUCCCUGCACAAACUGGAUUCAACAAGGACAGAAAGGAAGCCCAAACGCUUUACAUAUUGCCUGCUUUACACCCCAGGCUCAAGUCCAGAAAGUCCCUGUGAUACAACUCUCCAGUGAUUUCCCCUGAGGUCCAACCUAGUAGGUGCUUAAAAAGUCUUUGUUGUAAAUUAAUAAAUUAAUCCAAAACCACCACACUGCUAUUUCCUCCUACCUAUCUUCCUGUGCCUAUCAUAAGCUGUAUCACCCGGGGAAAAACAUUUUUCAGCUAAAUUUAGAACAGGGAGGGUUUUGGUUCCAUAAUUCCACUUCUAGUAAUAGAUUCUAAGGAAAUAAUCAGAUUUAGAUAAAGAUAGGUGUAUGAUAAUAUUCAGGCAAUGGUGUUUUCAAUAGUGUAAAGUUGGGAUCAACCUAAUUUGAAAAAUAGCCAAUAAGAAAAUGGCUAACUUUGAGGGGCCAGGCACCGUGGCUCAUGCCUGUAAUCUCAGCACUUUGGGAAGUUGAG